UACGGAGGGUGCAAGCGUUGUCCGGAUUUAUUGGGUUUAAAGGGUGCGUAGGCGGUUCUUUAAGUCAGUGGUGAAAGCCUCCAGCUUAACUGGAGAAAUGCCAUUGAUACUGAAGAACUUGAGUACAGACGAGGUAGGCGGAAUUGACAGUGUAGCGGUGAAAAUGCAUAGAUAUUGUCAAGAACACCGAUUGCGAAGGCAGCUUACUAGACUGUAACUGACGCUGAGGCACGAAAGUGCGGGGAUCAAACAGG
rnacentral:rRNA from 1 species